rnacentral:rRNA from 1 species
GACGAACGCUGGCGGCGUGCUUAACACAUGCAAGUCGAACGAAGUGGCGAACGGGUGAGUAACGCGUAAUCAACCUGCCCUUCAGGGGGGGAAAACAGUUGGAAACGAAUGCUAAUACCGCAAACUGAAGGAGGGGAUUGCGUGGGAUUUGCUAGUUGGAGGGGUAACGGCCAACCAAGGCGAUGAUCAGUAGCCGGUCUGGGAGGGUUGACGGCCACAUUGGGACUGGGACACUGCCCAGACUCCUACGGGAGGCAGCAGUGGGGAAUCUUCCGCAAUGGACGAAAGUCUGACGGAGCAACGCCGCGUGAGUUAUGACGGCCUUCGGGUUUUAAAGCUCUGUUAAUCGGGACGCGGUACCGGAAGAGAAAGCCACGGCUAACUACGUGCCAGCAGCCGCGGUAAUAC